rnacentral:ncRNA from 1 species
AUGAAAGCUUGGAAGAGGACAUGAUUGGUAAAGUACCUGUGGUUCAGAGAGAGAAGUCGCGGCUGGAAGCUUCUCCCGGAAGGAUUAUCAAUUACCACCUCGGAGCUCCGGCUGUGAACUGUGAGUAGCGGUCGGCGUAUAUCUGCGUUAAGGAUAAUGAAGACGCCUCAAUAAGGCGUGAAUGAUGGGUGGAACCGCGAGUCGAUAACUCGCCCCUUUU